CGGUGAUACACCCGACCCCAUUCCGAACUCGGCCGUGAAACCCGCCAGCGCCGAUGGUACUGCAUCAAUGGAUGCGGGAGAGUAGGUCGCCGCCAGGU
rnacentral:rRNA from 1 species